rnacentral:lncRNA from 1 species
AUCGAUUGCCACGCAGUAUCAGCAAAGAACCACUGGUGUCAGUGCUGACUAAUACGGCAAGUCUACUAACGCAACCGGAUUGCCUGGGGGAGGCUGGGGCCCAUCGCUGAAUGGGUGCGUAUGUAGCCAAACAGCAAAUCCCACUUUCGCAGGCCCCUUCAUUCCUGUGUGGUUGAAUCGUCAUGGCAAGAUCGGAAGUGCGAGCUUUCCCUUUAAUCCGGGUAAUUCGCACGCGGCUAAACAUGCAUCAAACUGGGCGAGGCUAGCACAUUAGAAUGCACCUGUAUGCACAUGGUCAAACCCUACAUAUACCGCGGUCAACCCCUAGCCUGCCACCGCCUAUUAUCUCCUGGAGCUCAGUUGACAAGGUGCGAAUCUCCAUAUGGCUGAUGCGAUUGCUCGCACAGCGCGUUUCUGCAGUCAGGCGAUCAUGUGACGACAAGUGGCUUGGUCGCAACUGUGGUGCCAAUUGAGGGAGACGGCAUCUCUAGUCGGCCAAGCAAGGCGCCCAGAUCUUGAUGCUUAGUCAGGGGCUUCAAGAUUGCCAGCCAGGAGAGCCGGUUG